rfam:Candidatus Portiera aleyrodidarum strain AF-CAI genome assembly, chromosome: I
GGAUCGGUAGUUCAGAAGGAUAGAAUAUCGGUUUGUCGAACCGAAAACACGGGUUCAAUUCCCGUCCGGUCCG